ensembl:lncRNA
CCUUAUUUGGUCGCAACUUGUUUUAAAAUCUUACAUCUGACUGCUGCUGUGGCGCAUCUAUCCGCAGAUUAUUGGCACGAGUGUCGCAGGAUAAUGUGUUUGCUGCAGAUGCCAUUUGAAAAUAUAGGCAGUGUAAGCACUGUAGAAUCUAAUUAUUUCUUUGCAAAACCUAAUUAGGCAUUAAAAAAGGUUAACGCCAGCGCCUGAAACGUUUUUGUUUAAUAAUCCCAUUACUGACGGCUCAUCAUGUAUAAAAUGGUGCAGGAGGACUCUAAGUUUCCACUUGUUAAAGGGAAUCUCUGAGAAAUAGUCGCAGACUUUUUGACACUAUCUGCGAUUGGGAAUUAGGGCUUGUAAUUAAACUGCGGGGACUCAACUCAGCACACAGAAACUCACAGAACGGCGAGAACAGAACUUGAUGAUCCUUUGUUUUUUUAAGCGUCAGCUCUUCUGGAGCCAUUACCAGUCACUAGAGAGAUCAAGUCUCUGGGUCCAUUCGGCCCAAAACAAAUAGGGUGUGGUGUGAGAGAGGAAAAUCGGGACAAGCGAGGAAGACGACGGGAAGAAAGAGCUGGUGCGAUGGGGAGGAACCGAAGGACACGGUGCAUUUCCUUCAAACUGCGCUUCCUACCAGGGAGGGAGUGUGAUGCUAACAAUGGGCCUGGAGCCAAAACCUAUUGACACAGAAGGCAGAGGGAAUCUACCAGAAAGCUGACUUUUUAGCUUCCUGGCUGCGAUUGGCCGGCUGUCUGGGCAGUGAUAGCAGCCCUGGAGCCGAGGAUGAUUGAUGACGGCGAGGGCAAGACCGAGCGCUGGCAGCAUAAAGCCACAUCGACGCCUCAAUAAAGAGCCUGGCUAGUGGAGAGCCUGGGCCCCGCUCAAUAGGGCCCCUUUCGCCUCCGAGGACCCACGGCCAGAGGACUACAUGGAGGGAGAGAGAGAGAGAGAGAGAGAGAGAGAGAGAAGGAAAGGUACUCUGUUGUUAGAUAAUCUGUUUAGCUAUCGAGCCAGCAGCCGUCUGAGGCUGGAUAAGUGCAGCGACGGAUGUGUGUGGGGUGAAAAUAGCAGGGGUUGGCUGGUGGAGUGCUGGAGGGGUGUGAGGGGGGGGGGAUGUGGAGAGGGAGAAAAAGAGAGGGAGAGAUGGAUCAUCCAGUCUCAGGAUUUAUAAUGGUGGAUGAGGGGUGGGGGGUGGGAUCUGCAGAAUGCUUUUCACACGAGCUGGAAAAGAUCCCCAAAAGUUGACCGCGAGAAAGUGAUUCUGCUGCUGCUGCUGCUGCUGCCGCCAGUCAGCCUACAGAUUCAGGACUGUCGUGACCUCUGCUUCAGCAGAUCAAUGAGACCCUGUUGGGUUGGAUUCCACCGGUGCAGCGUCCACCGCUGUGGCCCCGGUCCGCAGGCCUCCCUGCGGUAACCUCCCCCCCCCCUCCCCCUCCAGUGCACAGCGGCUCUGAAAAGCACAAUUAGGCAGCAAUCUGCUCCCACCAAGCCAGCUUUCAGUGACUCCAGCAUGGAGACACGGUGUCCUGCAGACCCUCCCUGGCUGGAGUUGGCAGGACGGAGGUCUGAGAGUGAUGGCCUGGUCAGCGUCGUCACCCUGCAGGGAGCACGGAGUUCAAGGAGGAGAAGUUGUUUUGUAUCCGUGGCAAUGUGUUGCACUUACUUAAUCAGAUUUGCUGACUGACUCAGACAAAAAUAAAGCAUUUGAACAAAAUGAAACAAGAGGCUGUAAUUGUUUUUCUAUCAAAGCUAAAAUGUAAUAAUUUUUUGCAACGCUUUGUUGUAAUGAGUAUUGAUUUUCAUUUGAAUCUCUUUCAAAUAAAUCUACACAAAGUAACAGCUUGUUGUACUUUUAAUUUCUGCUCUACUCGUUCAUUAUGGAGGUAAAGAAAGUUGCUGUUGGGAGACUUUUCAAGUCAGAUAAAUCCAAGUCAACCAUGAAGUCACAGAAUAAGUGAUAACAUGUGUGGCAUAAAGGCAUCUUUAGUGGG